rnacentral:rRNA from 1 species
ACGGGAGGCAGCAGUAGGGAAUCUUCCACAAUGGACGAAAGUCUGAUGGAGCAACGCCGCGUGAGUGAUGAAGGUUUUCGGAUCGUAAAACUCUGUUGUAAGGGAAGAACAAGUACGUUAGGAAAUGAAUGUACCUUGACGGUACCUUAUUAGAAAGCCACGGCUAACUACGUGCCAGCAGCCGCGGUAAUACGUAGGUGGCAAGCGUUGUCCGGAUUUAUUGGGCGUAAAGCGCGCGCAGGCGGUUUCUUAAGUCUGAUGUGAAAGCCCACGGCUUAACCGUGGAGGGUCAUUGGAAACUGGGAGACUUGAGUGCAGAAGAGGAAAGUGGAAUUCCAAGUGUAGCGGUGAAAUGCGUAGAGAUUUGGAGGAACACCAGUGGCGAAGGCGACUUUCUGGUCUGCAGCUGACGCUGAGGCGCGAAAGCAUGGGGAGCAAACAGGAUUAGAUACCCUGGUA